GACGAACGCUGGCGGCGUGCUUAACACAUGCAAGUCGAACGGAAAGGCCCUGCUUUUGUGGGGUGCUCGAGUGGCGAACGGGUGAGUAACACGUGAGUAACCUGCCCUUGACUUUGGGAUAACUUCAGGAAACUGGGGCUAAUACCGGAUAGGAGCUCCUGCUGCAUGGUGGGGGUUGGAAAGUUUCGGCGGUUGGGGAUGGACUCGCGGCUUAUCAGCUUGUUGGUGGGGUAGUGGCUUACCAAGGGUUUGACGGGUAGCCGGCCUGAGGGGGUGACCGGCCACCAUGGGACUGAGAUACGGCCCAGACUCCUACGGGAGGCAGCAGUGGGGAAUAUUGCACAAUGGGCGGAAGCCUGAUGCAGCAACGCCGCGUGCGGGAUGACGGCCUUCGGGUUGUAAACCGCUUUCGCCUGUGACGAAGCGUGAGUGACGGUAAUGGGUAAAGAAGCACCGGCUAACUACGUG
rnacentral:rRNA from 1 species